CACAGACAGGGCACAGCUGGGUCAGACUGAGGUUCUUAUCCACUAUCUGACCAAUGUGUGCUUUUUUUCCCUCUGCCUAACAUUAGUUUUCUUUAUAGAGACCAAUUAGGAGAAAUUCCUUUUCAGGAGUUAGCAGGUCAGAUAGAGUGCAGGUGUUUACACUGACCCAACUCAACUGCUCCCUGCUGAAUCUGUCCAGAGCACUAUCCAGCAUGUCGGUGGUCUCCAGACACCACAGGGACCUUGCUGACCUUGCCUGUGCUUGCCCAGAGUUGAAGGCCACCAGGACAUCUCCCAGAGCUGCUCCAAAUACUGCUUGUCCUUGCAUGUCCUUGCAUGAUGCAUUUAUCAGCUUGGUCUGGCAGAAAAAUAGCAUUGAGGUUUUUUUCAGAUAGCAUUUCAGGAACAUCUUAGUGCAUCAGUCUGAGUUUCUCAUUAUUGGAAUGUACAGGCUUUAUUAAAUGUCUGUGCAGUUCCAUGUAUCACAUGGUUUUCCUGAAUUUUAACAGGUUCAUUAGUUUUGUGACAAACAUUACUAUAGAUAAGAUAUUUAUACAGAGAAAGAUGGAGCACACAUAAAAAAUAUUAACCUUGUUAGGCAGCUCCAUGUUUUAGAUGCUAGCCAGUGUCUUGAGUUCUUCUCUUAUCUCCAGGUCCUUUUGUUUAAGUAAUUAGAGUAUUUUGUUGACAUUAAAAGGCUUGAAGGCUUGAAUGUCUUAGAAAGUUUAAAGGUAUACAUUCACCUCCUUUCACUGCACUCAAAUUCCCUUUCAGUCUUCUCAUAGCAUACAAAGUGUACCAUGUGCCCUGGAAACUUGACUGAUUUCAUUGAACUCUAGACAACCAGGAUAAGCAUAUUGUUGACACAUAAGCAGAUAAGAGGGCAAAUUUUGGCAUGUGACUAUCUAGUGACAUGAUAAAUGUGAUGCUUUCAAGCCAUGUGCCAUAAACCGGCAUGUAUGCACUGCCUUUUUAUUUAAUCCUUAUUUAGUCCCAUUGAAUAAAUGGGACAGUUAAGGGAUCUGUUCUUAUAAAAUAGAUACACUGUAGGUAGUAAACAUGGAUUUAUUUUGUUAAUGGGUUUACUUGCAGAAAGUCACUUACUCUUAAUGCACAUAGUUGCUGAGGAUCUGAAUGUGUAUACAUUCAGUAGGCUCUAAGUACUCCUGUGGCAAAUAUCCCUUUGUUCCAGCUAUACUGUAAUUUUUUUUCCUAAUUAAUAUACAGACAGUGCUCACUAUUAUUUUCCCAGGAGAACCACACAUUAUUUCAUUUUGGCUAAUCAGAUCUUCUCAUUUGUUACUCUUUUUGUUUUAUAAAGCAUCAAUAUGUUUUACAUGUACUUGCCUGAUCUCUUGCUUUGAGAUAUAAAUAAAAUUGAAAAAAAAUAUGUGGAGUGUGGAUGAAGGAGGAAAAACAACAGAUCCAGACUCCCUGGUACCAUUUGUGGCAGAAGAUGCCAAAUAUAACAACUUUCACGACAUCUCCUGAAUGCUCUAGCUGUAUCCUCAGUAAGCCAUAAAUACAGGCUCAAGAAUUCA